GCCUCUUUUAUUUAUCGCUGCUGCUCAGCCCGGGCCCGGCCGCCUCUAAUCACCUUGCGCCGCUCUAUUCCCGGCCCGUUGUGCAACCCUCCACCCCCUUCCCGGCGCGGCGCCGCAGCAGCACCUCGAGACAGGUCCGGCCGCUUCCUGCGCCCGGCCUCGCGCCAACAGGAUCUGGCUGGCAGCCUGCCCCCCGCGCCGCCGUGCCCGCGCUCCCUGCCCGCGGCUCGGCCCCGCUUGCAAAGCUCCCCUGGCGCGCGAGGGCCUCGGGCGGCAGGCGCAGGGCCCGGAGGCUCGCUCUGCGGUGGCGGCGAAGCGCAGGUGGCACACGCUGCCGCCGCCUCCGGCCCUCCUGGCAAGCCAGCGGUCCCCUCCUCGGCCAGGCAGCCGCGUGCCUCUGGCAGCCCAGCUCCGCUCUCCUGCCCCUGCCCGGGGACACGGCCGUCGCCUGCGCCGGGGAGCCCUGCCAGGAGCCGCCUGGAGGCAGCGCAGCCUGAGCCUGCAGCCGGGACCGGCCGCCCCCGGGGCCGUUUCCUCCGCGCAGGACCCCUCUCUCCGGACUGCCGGUCGGGAAGGGAAGGGCAGGGAGCAGCUCGCAACAGCACGGCGCAGGAAGAGGGGGCGAGAAACGCCGGAUCCACCUGGCGCCGCGCAGGGUCACAGCAAGUCCAGGCCGGGCAGAAGCCGGCCGGGCACAGGGGCUGCGCGGCAGGGCUCCCGCGGCAGAGGACCUGCUCCCUGCUCCACCGCAGCAGGGAACCGAGCCCAGUUUCUCUCCAAGAAACAGGCUCCAGCCUCUCGCCCCCCACGUGCUGGGCUGGGAGCGCCCGCUCCGGCUGCAGGCCCACGGUGCCUGCCGGAGGCAAGGCGGGCACGGGGCGCUGCGCUCCCCUCCCGGCCGACGGCAGCUCCCUGCGUGCCGGGACCUGCCAGCCCUGGGACUGUGUCCCCACGCUGCGGGCGAGGGCAGCUGCAACCUUGCUUCAUCCCCACCCGCCAGGGCGCAACCCUCCGCCGCCUGCCAAGGCAGCUCCCGCCGGGAGCAGCAACCAGGGGCUGAUGUCACUCCGCAAGCAAGGGCAGGAAUUGCCCGGGCACCCAGCCCCGGGGACGGCCCGGCUCCGCCACAGGCCGCGAGCACAAGCCACCGGUUUGGUAAACCCACGGGAGCCCCAGGGCUGCCCCGGCACGUCGUUGCCUCCGCUGCCCGCCUGCGCCCUUGGCAGGGAGCAGGGCGCACACAGGCGCUCUGCCCUUGCUUCCCGAGGAAGGGACACGCUCCAAGAAAGCGGAGGCGGUCAGUGUGGCUGCCGGGGACGCCGCGGCAGCGGGAGGAGGAAGGCGGGCUGGCCGAGGAGAGCUCAGCAGGGAUGCGGGAGCCUCGUAUGGACCGCUCCAGGCCGGAGGGGAAGGCGGCAGGAACGCGGCUCUCCAGCCAGCCGUGGCCCUGCGCGGGAGGGGGCCCCCGCAAUCAGAUGCUGUGGCAGCAACACACACCUGGGAAAGCGGCUGAGAGCCCAGCUCCGGGAUGAAGCGAGACCUCGCAGAGCCCCUCCGUCACAGCUCACCUGGCGAGGGCGCAAAGGACCCCAGCGGGUCUGCAGGUGGAAAGGAGAGCCAGGGCCUCCGGAUCGGACCCUGCCAGCCACAGCAGCACAGAGCCAGCACGGAGGUGUUUACCAAGGGCCUCGCACACCCACAGAGCUGAGCAAACAGCCCCGGCCGGGCCGGGGGCCCAGCAGCACCCGCACGUUUGCAAGGAGAUGUCCGCAUCCCUAG
ensembl:lncRNA